AGCAGCAGCCGCGGUAAUACGUAGGUCCCGAGCGUUGUCCGGAUUUAUUGGGCGUAAAGCGAGCGCAGGCGGUUAGAUAAGUCUGAAGUUAAAGGCUGUGGCUUAACCAUAGUACGCUUUGGAAACUGUUUAACUUGAGUGCAGAAGGGGAGAGUGGAAUUCCAUGUGUAGCGGUGAAAUGCGUAGAUAUAUGGAGGAACACCGGUGGCGAAAGCGACUCUCUGGUCUGUAACUGACGCUGAGGCUCGAAAGCGUGGGGAGCGAACAGGAUUAGAUACCCCCGUAGUCCCUGUCUCUUAUACA
rnacentral:rRNA from 1 species